UACGUAGGGUGCAAGCGUUGUCCGGAAUUAUUGGGCGUAAAGAGCUCGUAGGCGGUCAGUCGCGUCUGCUGUGAAAACUCGGGGCUUAACUCCGGGCCUGCAGUGGGUACGGGCAGACUAGAGUUCGGUAGGGGAGACUGGAAUUCCCGGUGUAGAGGUGAAAUUCGUAGAUAUCGGGAGGAACACCGGUGGCGAAGGCGGCGACCUGGGUCGACACUGACGCUGAGGCGCGAAAGCGUGGGGAGCAAACAGG
rnacentral:rRNA from 1 species